rnacentral:rRNA from 1 species
UACGUAGGGUGCGAGCGUUAAUCGGAAUUACUGGGCGUAAAGCGUGCGCAGGCGGUUUUGUAAGUCAGAUGUGAAAGCCCCGGGCUUAACCUGGGAAUGGCAUUUGGGACUGCAAGGCUUGAGUGUGGCAGAGGAGACUGGAAUUCCUGGUGUAGCAGUGAAAUGCGUAGAGAUCAGGAGGAAUACCGAUGGCGAAGGCAGGUCUCUGGGCUAACACUGACGCUCAUGCACGAAAGCGUGGGGAGCAAACAGG